GGGGGGGAGGGAGGAGAGGUGUGCGGGGGGCACAGAGGAAAAGAAUCCAUGAUAACUAGUUUAGUCGUAUGUCAGGGAGAAGAAAGAGAGGAGUGAAACCACCUUUCCAUCAUUUGGGAGAGAAGGAGAAAAAAGAGAUCAGAAAAUUUAAUAGAAACUAACCACCAUGGUUUUAAAUUGCAGUUAGAGCCGCAAGUAACAGAAAUAGGCCUAUAACGGCCAUAACAUAACAGUAACAGCCAAGCGCUACGCAAAUUUUUUUGAAAAG
rnacentral:misc_RNA from 1 species